rnacentral:tRNA from 1 species
UUUCUAAUAUGGCAGAUUAGUGCAAUGAAUUUAAGCUUCAUAAAUAAAGUUAUUUACUUUUAUUAGA